rnacentral:rRNA from 1 species
CCUACGGGAGGCUGCAGUGAGGAAUAUUGGUCAAUGGACGGAAGUCUGAACCAGCCAUGCCGCGUGCAGGAUGACGGCUCUAUGAGUUGUAAACUGCUUUUGUACGAGAAUAAUCGUGCUUACGUGUAGUGAUUUGAAAGUAUCGUACGAAUAAGGAUCGGCUAACUCCGUGCCAGCAGCCGCGGUAAUACGGAGGAUUCGAGCGUUAUCCGGAUUUAUUGGGUUUAAAGGGUGCGUAGGCGGUUUGAUAAGUUAGAGGUUAAAUGUCGGGGCUUAACCCCGGGACUGGCUCUGAUACUGUUCGACUAGAGAGCGGAUGCAGCAGGCGGAAUUAGGAGUGUAGCGGUGAAAUGCCUAGAAAUUACU